rnacentral:lncRNA from 10 species
AGUUAUUUACUGAUGUAAUUAAUUGAUAUUGGUCAAACACAAAAGUCUUUGAGGAUCGUUGAAGGCAAUUCGGUCUGCGGGAGUUCAUAUUCUUUAUUACGGUUUGUUUCCCUGGAGACCUCAUUUUCCCCUGUUAUAAAUAACCCCAACGUGUCUUGCCAGUCCAGGUGUCCGACCCUUUGAUACGAUUCUGAUUUUUCGGACAGAAAAACAGUGCCCGAGGAUCUGUCCCUGGCUGCUGUUGGCUGCUUGUUGAAGAUCCACUCCACGGCUGCUGAAGCUCCUGGGGGUAAUCUUGAGACAGAUGAACCAAGUCUGGAGACCCACCUGCAAAGUUCCAGAGAUGACUUCAAGGUGGCGAGUCAACAGCCUCACCAUUGUUGAGAUGACACCAGCCCGUGAUCCAGCUUCCACACAACAGCCCUGAUGUUUACCAGCAGGCGUCUCUUGUUUAGUCUCAUUGUCUUUGGCAAGUUCAAUCUCAACCAGAUUGUUGUUCUUCUCAAGAGGACUGAUCCCAGCAGGCUCCAGCCCUAAAGCGGACUGUUCGGGAGAUCUGUGUUAACUUUGUGUUUCAGUCCUCAGUCUCACGGUACUGGGUCCUACCGUGAGCGGAAAAUCCCUCUCUACAUCAGAACAGCCUUCUGGCCAUGCUACAGUCCUCGCUCAGAAACACGGCACACCAUAUAUAAAUAUGAUGGAUAAGCAGUGAGUGUGUAAAGACCUUGUGACUACUGAAUGUUUUGUAAAAGGUACGUAUCCAAAAUAAUUAAAAUCAGGACCUCAAAGAACUAUCUGCACUUCCAUGUUCAUUGCAGCAUUAUUCAUAAUAGCCCAAAUGUGGAAACCAUCUAAAUGCUCAUUGACAGAUGAAUGGAUAAAGAAAAUGUGGCACAUAUAUACCAUCAAAUAUUAUUUAGCCUUAAUACAGCAGAAAAUCCUGCCAUAUGCAAAAACAUGACUGAACCUACAGGAUGUUAUGGUGAUAUGAUAUCCACUGUCCACGUCAUCCAAAACCUAAGUUUGUUUGGCUUCAGAGUUGCAGGACAUUCCAAUUAUUCCACCUUUCUCAGCUUCCUACCCUUCGUGAUCCACUCCAGCCAACAUGUAAGGAGAAUCUGGGGGAGUAAAGGAGGGCAAAUUGGAAAAUGUCGCUUCUGUUACCCAGUCUCUGCCCAUUUUGGCCUUAAUAAAAUUUUGAUCAAAAUUUAAAAAUUAGGAAUAUGUGUGUUUCACCAUUUAUCUGUGAAGGAAAGAAUCCUGCCUUAUGCCUAAAAAUAUUUUAAUAAUGUGGUAACAUUACCACUAAUAAUAGAACCUGCCUACGCACCAACACAAUUCCAAUCUAAGAGUUAGUCAUAUCCUCCCAUCAAGACACUGUGUGCAGAUUUUCUUCAGUCAUAUUCAGAUGGGAUUUCAGGUUCCAGUCUGAAGACAAAGAGAUUAUAGAUCAGAAGAGACAUCUAAUUUCAACUAAAUCAUGCUUGCAAACAAAGCAACACACACACACACACACACACACACACACACACACACACACACACACGAAACCCUGCCUGUUUUCAUUUUUAUUAUCCCAUCUGGCACUACCCAGAUAAGAAAAUAACUAAAAUAAAUAUUUUCCAUUAACCAUUUGCAUAAAUCAUGAUUUACUCUCACAGGUAUCUCAACAGUACCCACACCGGUGAUAGGACUGAUAAUGUUGAUUGACUGUUUACUAUCUGCCAUGCACUUCUAGAAGAGCUUGACUUGGGUUUUCUCAUUUGUUUCUCAAAACAUUCUUAUGAGACAGACACCAUUAUUAUCCCCACAUUACAG